AUGCUUACCUGGCAGGGGAGACACCAUGAUCAAGAAAGUUGUUUACCCAGGGUGAGACUCAACCGCUGCAUGCCGGUAGUGCUGACUCCUGCGAUUUCCCCCGAAUGAGGGAAUCUCGACUGCAUAAUUUCUGAUAGUGGGGGACUGCGUUCGUGCUCUCCUCUG